rnacentral:rRNA from 1 species
UGACAGUACUCCUACGGGGAGGCAGCAGUGGGGGAAUAUUGCACAAUGGGCGCAAGCCUGAUGCAGCCAUGCCGCGUGUGUGAAGAAGGCCUUCGGGUUGUAAAGCACUUUCAGUCGUGAGGAAGGUAGUGUAGUUAAUAGCUGCAUUAUUUGACGUUAGCGACAGAAGAAGCACCGGCUAACUCCGUGCCAGCAGCCGCGGUAAUACGGAGGGUGCGAGCGUUAAUCGGAAUUACUGGGCGUAAAGCGCAUGCAGGUGGUUUGUUAAGUCAGAUGUGAAAGACCCGGGGCUCAACCUCGGAAUAGCAUUUGAAACUAGGCAGACUAGAGUACUGUAGAGGGGGGUAGGAAUUUCAGGUGUAGCGGUGAAAUGCGUAGAGAUCUGAAGGAAUACCGGUGGCGAAGGCGGCCCCCUGGACAGAUACUGACACUCAGAUGCGAAAGCGUGGGGAGCAAACAGGAUUAGAUACCCUGGUAG